rnacentral:lncRNA from 1 species
CCUGCCAGAGCCCCGGGAGCUGCCCUGCCAAGACCUAUCCUGGGAGAGCUAUUGAAAGAGCCUCGAGAAAAGGGUCAGGGGACCCAGGGGAAGAGACCGAAGAGGUGGUAUAAUUGAGCCCAAGAGAAGUGACUUGCCCAAGGUUCAGCACUCUCCAAGAGGAAAUAGCAAAGCCAGAAUUAGGCUUAGAUUUUCUGCUCACCAGUCCAGAAACCCGCCUCACCAUGUUGCUCCAAACACAUUUUGAGGCUUUUAUCGGGACCAGAGAAGAUGUGAUGAUGUUGGAGCACAAAGACAUUGAACUGCUGGCUGAUGUCACGAGUAGCAGAGGGAGAGCGCACAGCAGGCCUCUCCCUGCCCCGGGGCCAAGCUUCUCCUCUGGUCCACCCACCGCCUCCCAUCUUCUCCAGAUCCUUCCCAUCCUCCGAGGAGGCCGCCCUCCAGCCCCGCUCUCGGAACACCUGCCCCUCGGUGGGGGACACUCACCAGAUCCGCUUCACAUGUGCAGCCCCUGGAGACACACCACAGAUGCACGUGGAGUCUCAGGGCCCCUUAGACACCAGGACCGGCCCCACGUGCCUCAGCGGCCUGUCAGCUGGUCUGUUGGUGUCUGGCAUACCUUAAGAAUGAAGCGAUUAUGUUUCCUCUUAAUCACGGGAUUGGGUUGAUGGAAGAAGACCCCCAUCUGCAGUCUAAUUGGGCUGUGGGUAGGAAACAAAGAUGUGGCACGUUUUGCGGGUAAAAUCUGGCUGGCACGUGUGUUCAUCCGCUUCUGGACUUCUGGCUCUUCUCUCAAGUCCACUUUGUGUUGCAGUUCCCGGUGCACGUGUGGCUCCCCUGUCGUCUAACUGAGGGAGGGAUGUGGCGCCUCCAUCCUUGAAGCUUCCCGGCAUGCAGUGCAGUGGGCGCCACUCAAGGCAGCACUGAACUGGCCUCCGAGGGUUGGGAGGGUUGGAUUAGACCUUGGAGAAGUCAUGCAGUCUCUCCGACCCUUGGUUUCCCUAGCUGUAUAAUGGGCAUAAUGCUUUCUAACCUUUCUCCUUCCUUAGCUUUUAAAGAAGACUCUAGUUCCUGCUCUGUACUCAAGCUUAUUAGUGGGUUUUUUGUUUCGUUUUUUCUCUCAGCCACCAUGCUGCUGGGUGGGUGAGACUCAAGUGAGGCUCCCGCGCAGCGGCCCGGGCAUCAGCUGGGAGCUUGUUAGAAAUGCAGAGUCUCGGGCUGCACACCAGACAGACUGAAUCUGCAUUCGAGCAACCUCCCCAGGAAAUUCGUGUGCACAUG